GAAAUCCUCAUGUUAACGGUUCCAAUCUAAUCUGGGUUGGCUGGAUUGGUAGGAUAGGGGACUGGAAAUCCU
rnacentral:tRNA from 1 species